UUUGACUCGUGGAGUUUAUAUUGGUCUAGAUUUUCUUCUUUCAAAGCUGUCAUCCAAGUGGAAGAAAAUAUGCACUGAUGCCACAAUGUCUACGAAAAUGCUAGGGCAAUAAUUUACAUUACUUAUGAAAGAUAUAGACUUCUAGUUGGCAAGCAAUAAAUUGAUUGUAUAAUGUACGGUUAUUGAAGUCGUUUCUAAAGCAAUACGGUUUAAAAUAAUUUAUGAGAUGAUAUUCAAAAAUUCCAUUAAAGUUGAUGGUUAACAUAUGGU
rnacentral:lncRNA from 1 species